AGCUCUCCCUGGGGACACGAGGACGGUGAGGCGCGCUCCCCGCGUCCCUCCUUCGAGACCCAGGAAAGGGCUCGUGCCGCGCCCCAUCCUAGGAGCGGGCAGGGGGUGCUCACCGUGACGUUGCCGAUGGCGCUGUAGGGGCAGUAGACGUCAGGGUCCUCCAGCGGCAGCUGCUCUCCGACCUUCCCGGCCUCAUCGACCCAGUGCAGGGUGUUGGGGUGAGCCCUGGGGAGCGGGGCUGGUGAGCGCCCCGAGCCGCGUCCCCCUCCCCGCGCGCCCCCCGCCCGCGCGCGCACUCACGGAUCCGGGAAUUGCAGCCCCACGUAGUGCGUGUCGGUCCACACGUGGUCCAGCUUCUGGCGGGAGAGCGCCGCGCGAAUGUCCUGAGUCAGAGCGGCCAUCCCGGCCGAGCCUGCCACCCGUUCCCGAAGGCUGGUUUGCCUAAGCGGGGAGAGACGAGAAGUCUUGCUGUGUUUCCCAAGCUGGUCUUGAACUCCUGGCCUCAAGCGAUCCUCCCAAAGUGCUGGGACUACAGGCAUGAACCAUGACGACCCGCCCCAUAUGUGUAUUUAAAGCUACACAUCAAAAGCGUGAGAUAAGGUGCUUAUGGGGAGGGGAGUGGGGAGGAUCACUCAGGGAUGAGGCAGGAAAAUUCAAUUCAAAACAGUUAAAGUAGCCAGUAAGGCCCUUUAGGGCCUGAGCUACAUCCACCUCACCGGCCACAUGGACCAUCUUUCCCUUCCUCCAAGAGGCCACCAUCUUCACAUUUCAGACCCUUCGCAAAUGGUGAAUCUCAGCCUGAAUGUUUUUCCACAGUCUCUUUGCCUGGCAAAUUACUCAUCUUGGCAGUUUAGACUCGUCAGUUCCUCAACGAAGCCUUCCCUGAACUGCAAUCUAAAUCAGGAUCCUGGUUAUAGUCUUUCUUUACACACUUUUCUUUUCUUUUUUCUUUCUUUCUUUCUUUUUUUUUUUGAGACGGAGUCUCGCUCUGUCGCCCAGGCUGGUGUGUAGUCGUGCAAUCUCAGCUCACUGCAACCUCUGCCUCCUGGGUACAAGUGAUUCUCCUGCCUCAGCCUCCUGAGUAGCUAGGACCACAGGCGCCUACCACCACACUCAGCUAGUUUUGUAUUUUUUUAGUAGAGACAGGGUUUCGGCAUGUCGGCUAGGCUGGUCUCAAACUCCUGGCCUCAGGCAAUCAGCCCACCUUCACCUCCCAAAAUGCUGGGAUUACAGGUAUGAGCCAUGGCGCCCGGCCCCUUUUCUUUUCUUUUUUUGGAGAUAGGGUCUCACUCUGUCACCCAGCCUGGAGUGCAGUGGCAUGACCAUAGCUCACUGCAACCUUCAGCUCCUAAGCUCAAGCCAUCCUCCUGCCUCAGCCUCCUGAAUAGCCGGGACUCUAGGCAUGCACCACCAUACUGGGCUAAUUUUUUAUUUUUCUUUUUUAAAAAAUUAUUAUUAUUAUUAUUAUUAUUAUUUUUGACAUGGAGUUUCACUCUUGUUGCCCAAGCUGGAAUGCAAUGGCGCAAUCUUGGCUCACUGCAACCUCCACCUCCCAGGUUCAAACAAUUCUCCUGCCUCAGCCUCCCAAGUAGCUGGGAUUAUAGGUGCCCGCCAACAUGCCCAGCUAAUUUUUUUUGUAUUUUUAGUAGAGCCUAAAAAGGGUGAAACAGUGUUUCACCAUGUUGGCCAGGCUGGUCUCGAACUCCUGUCCUCAGGAGAUCCACCUGCCUUGGCCUCCCAAAGUGCUGGGAUUACAGGUGUGAGCCACCGUGCCUGGUCAAAUUAUUAUUAUUUUUUUAAGAGACAGGAUCUCUCUAUGUUGCCCAGGCUGGUCUCAAACUGGGCUCAAGAGAUCCUCCCACCUCAGCCUCCCAAAGUGCUGGGCUCACAGGUGUGAGCCACCACACUGAGCCUCACAUCCUUUGCUUUUCUUUCAAAGCAAUGAUUCCAGUCAUAAUUAUGUAGUCGUGAAUGAUUGUUAGUUUAGUAUUGGUUUUCUCCAGUGGAUUGUAAGCACCAUGAGAACAAAGUUAGACUGUUUUAGUCUCUAUCUCACCACCACCUGCUUAGCUUAGUACCUGCCACGUAGUAGAUGCCCCAAAAUACUUGUUGGAUAAAUGAAUUAAUUACUUCAUCAUUGUCACCUCCAGUCCAGGCACUCCACUUCCCUGGUCACACCCUGCAUCUUUUUUUUUUUUUUUUUUUUUUUGAGAUGGAGUCUUGCUCUGUUUCACAGGCUGGAGUGCAUUGGUGCGAUCUCAGCUCACUGCAACCUCUGCCUCCCAGUUUCAAGUGAUUCUCCUGCCUCAGCCUCCCGAGUAGCUGGGAUUACAGGCAUGCACCAUCACACCCAGUUAAUUUUUGUAUUUUUAGUAGAGACAGGAUUUCACCAUGUUGGCCAGGCUGGUCUCAAACUCCUGACCUCAGAUGAUCCACCUGCCUUGACCUCCCAAAGUGCUGGGAUUACAGGCGUGAGCCACUGUGCCUGGCCCGUAUCCUGCAUCUUGUCAUUACCCGCACUCCAUCUCUGGAAUACUUAUCCAUUGAGGAUCUACUGAACAUCUAGUAAGUGCCAGGCAUUGUGGUAGGUGCUGGAGACUCUGAGAUAGACAGGAUAUAUUGUAUCAGGAAGUUUUCAAGGAUCCAGAAUCCUACUCUCUGAGUAGACCCUGUCAGGUUCCAACUCCCCCAGUUAUCCUCGCUGUACCUGCUCUUCAACCCCAUUGAACAUGACAAAUGUCCUAUAGCUCCACAUGUAUCAUCUCCCCCCACUUUCUCUUCCCUCUCCAUCCCACCGAGAGCCAUGUUUCACUCUUGUUGCCCAGGCUGGAAUGCAAUGGCGCGAUCUCGGCUCACUGCAACAUCCUUGCUCUCUCCCCAAAACUGCUACUUUUGCCUCAGUGCCACACCCCGCUUCUAGACCUGUCAAACUAUCUACCUGCUCAGCCUGUACCCAGAUGACCAAAUACUGCUCAAAAAAAUAAAAGUAGCCCUGAACAGGCUGGGCACCAUGGCUUACGCCUGUAAUCCAAGAAAUUUGGGAGGCCAAGGUAGGAGGAUUGCUUGAGCCCAGGAGUUCGAAACCAGCCUGGCCAACAUGAUGAAACCCUGUCCCUAAAAAAAAUACAUAAAUUGCCGGGCGCAGUGGCUCACACCUGUAAUCCCAGCACUUUGGGAGGCCGAGGUGGGUGGAUCUCCUGAGGUCAGGAGUUCGAGACCAGACUGACCAACAUGGAGAAACCCCAUCUCCACUAAAAAUACAAAAUUAGCUGGGUGUCGUGGCGCAUGACUGUAAUCCCAGCUACUCGGGGAGCUGAGGCAGGAGAAUCGCUUGAACCCGGGAGGCGGAGUUUGCAGUGAGCCAAGAUCGUGCCAUUGCUCUCCAGCCUGGGCAACAAGAGUGAAACUCUGUCUCACAAAAAAAAAGAAAAAAACAAAAAACAAACAAAAAAAUCAUAAAUUAGCUGGGCAUGGUGGCUCACGCCUGUAGUCCCAGCUACUUGGGAAGCUGAGGCACAAAAAUCACCUGAAGCCGGGAGGCGGAGGUUACAGUGAGCUAAGAUCAUGCCACUGUACUCCAGCUUGGGCAACAGAGUGAGAAUUGGUUGCAAAUAUAUAAAAAUAAAUAAAUCCUGUCCCUAAAUAAUAAUAAUAAUUUUGAAAAAAGAAAAAUGAAAAAUUAGCUGGGCGUGGUGGCCCCUCCCUGUAGACCCAGCUACUCAGGAGGCUGAGAUGGGAGAAUCACCUGAGCUUGGGAAAUCGAGGCUGCAGUGAGCCCAGAUUGCACCACUGCAUUCUAGCCUAGGUGACAGAGCAAGGCCCUGUCUCAAAAAAAAAUUAAUGUAAUUUAAUUUUUUUUUUUUUGAGAUGGAGUUUCACUCUUGUUGCCCAGGCUGGAGUGCAAUGGCACGACGUUGACUCACCGCAACCUCCGCCUCCUGGGUUUAAGCGAUUCUCCUGCUUCAGCCUCCCGAGUAGCUGGGAUUACAGGCAUGCGCCACUACGCCCGGCUAAUUUUGUAUUUGUUUUGUUUUUUUGAGACAGAGUCUUGCUCUGUCGCCCAGGCUGGAGUGCAGUGGCGCGAUCUCGGUUCACUGCAAGCUCCGCCUCCCGGGUUCAUGCCAUUCUCCUGCCUCAGCCUCCCAAGUAGCUGGGACUAUAGGUGCCCGCCACCACGCCCAGCUAAUUUUUUGUGUUUUUAGUAGAAACGGGGUUUCACCAUGUUAGCCAGGAUAGUCUCGAUCUCCUGACCUCAUGAUCUGCCCACCUCGGCCUCCCAAAGUGCUGGGAUUACAGGUGUGAGCCACCAUGCCUGACCUGUAAUUUAAUUUAAAAGCCCUGAGCAGGCUGGGUGCGGUACCUCAUUCCUAUAAUCCCAGCAUUUUGGGAGGCUGAGGUGGGAGGAUUGUUUGAGGCCAGUAGUUUGAGACCAUCCUGGGCAACAUAGGGAGACCUCGUUUCUACUAAAAAAAAUUAAAAAUUAGGCUGGGCAUGGUGGCUCAUGCCUGUAAUCCCUGCACUUUGGGAGGCCGUGGUGGGUGGAUCAUCUGAGGUCAGGAGUUUGAGACCAGUCUGCCCAACAUGGUGAAACCCCGUCUCUACUAAAAAUACAAAAAAUUGGUUGGGUGUGGUGGCAGGCACCUGUGAUCCCAGCUACUCGGGAGGCUAAGGCAGGAGAAUUGCUUGAACCUGGGAGGUGGAGGUUGCCAUGAGCCGAGAUCGCACCACUGCACUCCAGCCUGGGCAACAGUGAAACUCUGUCUCAAAAAAAGUAAAAAAAAAAAAAAUAGCCGGGCAUAGUGGCACACAUCUGUAGUCCUAGCUACUUGAAAGGCUAAGGUGGGAGGAUCACUUGGGUCCAGGAGUUGGAGGCUGCAGUGAGCUAUCAUCUCGGCACUGUCUGGGUGACAGUGAGGCCCUAUCUCAAAAAAAUAAAGCCCUGAACAUUGUUGAUUCCACAGACUCAAGGUCUUUCAGCAGGUGAAUCCAGCAACAUAUCAAAAGAGUAAUCAUACACCUUGAUCAAGGUUAGCGUUGAGCUCAGGAAGAUAAGGAAAUCUAUUAACACAAAUUACUAUAUAAACAUUAAAGAAGAGGCUGGGUGCUGUGGCUCAUGCCUGUAAUCCCAGCACUUUGGGAAGCCGAAGCGCUUUGGCAGAUCGCUUGAGCUUACGAGUUGGAGACCAACCUGGGCAACAUGGCAAAACCCUGUCUCUACUAAAAAAUACAAAAAUUAAUCAAGCGUGAUGGCACACACCUGUAAUCCCAGCUACUCAGGAGGCUGAGGCAUGAGAAUCGCGUGAACCUGGGAGGCGGAGGCUGCAGUGAGCCAAGAUUGCACCACUGCACUCCAGCCUGGGUGAUAAGAGGGAGACUCCGUCUCAAAAAAUCAAUCAAUCAAUAAAAGUCUCAGUGAGCUAGGAGUGAAAGGAAACUUCCUUAAUUCAAUUUUAAAAAGCUGUCUGGAGCACAGCAAAGUUCAUUGUCAAUGGCAAAGUAUUAUAAAAGCAUUGCUAUUAAAGUCAGGAAAUAGGCAAGGAUACCUACUGCCACGGUUACCUUAAAUUCAUGUCCUCUCAAAUGCAAUGAGAAAUGAAAAAAAAAAAAACGUAGAAGGUAUAAGCAUUGGAAAAGAGAAUCUCCAUCUCCUACUAUCUGUAGCUUAGCUGAUUACCUACUUAGAAAACCCAGGCGAAUCCACUGAAAAAUUACUCCCGUCCCAAAAGAGGGCUAUGGGUGGACCUAGCUUUUGGAUCUGCACCCACAAAUGCAUUUGCUUACUUGUUUUUCUUUUUUUCUUUUCUUUUUUUUUUUUUUUGAGAUGGAGUCUCGCUCUGUUGCCCAGGCUGAAGUGCAGUGGCGUGAUCUCGGCUCAAUGCAUGCUCCACCUCCUGGGUUCAAGCCAUUCUCCUGCCUCAGCCUCCCGAAUAGCUGGGACUAGAGGCGCCCGCCACCAUGCCCGGCUAAUAUUUUGUGUUUUUAGUACAGACGGGGUUUCACCGUGUUAGCCAAGAUGGUCUCGAUAUCCUGACCUAGUGAUCUGCCCGCCUCCGCCUCCCAAAGUGCUGGGAUUACAGGCCUGAGCCACCGCACCCUGCCGUUAUUUUGUUUUUGAAACAGGGUCUCGCUCUGUCUCCCAGGCUGGAGUGCAGUGGCAUAAUCUCGGCUCACUGCAACCUCCGCCUCCCCGGCUCAGGCAAUCCUCCCCCGUCAAGCUCCCAAGUAACUGGGACUACAGGCACUCGCCAUCAUCCCCAGCUAAUUUUUGUGUUUUCUUUGGUAGAGACGGGGUUUCAUCGUAUUGCCCAGGCUUGCUUGCUUGGUUUUCUGAUUCCCUAGAAUGCGGCUUCUCAGAACCCCUCAGCGCUCCCUGCUCCAAAUCUAGGCGCCUGGGUGAGGCAUUCAAGGCUUUUCUGGGUCUGUCCAGUCUGAUACUGGAUGCUGCACCCCUCUGAUCUCAGACAGUCAGCUCCCUCACCUCCCAAAUAUGCCACCCUCAGAGCCUCAGUCCCCUGGAACCUCAGCUCCGAAUGCCUGCCAUCCUUCCCAGGACCGCUGAACAGGGGGGCCAGGAAGGCAGAUGGGAGGACUCAGGAGGGGGACCCAGACACCAGAGGCCUGGGCCAGGAGGCAGGGAGGCCCAGUCUGAGCGGAUGAGGGGAGGGACACUCGAGAACAGGAUGGGGCAGGGCCAUCCCUACCUGAUGGUGUCCUCCAGGCGCCCCUCCCCCAGGAACUGCAGGAACAUGGCCUGGAGGUCGCUCCAGUAGAGUCUGCCCUGGUGGAAAUCCAGGUCAGGCUCAUAGUUGACAUCCUCACUGACCACCAACACAGAGUCUCCGCACGCCUGGCAGGACCCUCGGAAGGCGACGUAGCCCAGUAGGAAGGCUGGCGGGUGGCAAGAUGGGGAUUCUCUUUAUGCCCACCUCUGGACCCCAGAAAUCUCCCCCAGCCCAAGCCCUUCACUUCUGGGGAGGGGGACGGCUCUCACCCCCAGUGAAGAUCAGCAGGGCCGUCAGGACCAGGUAGGGGGCAGCCCUCCGUCCUGCUGCCGCCCAGGGAAUGAGGUUUGGCUGCCUGGGUCUAGAGCCCAGGGGCUCAGGGCCCCUCAGCUCCAUGGGGCAGAAGUGGGCCAAUGUCUCCGCCCCCUCCUCCCCGUCUUCCUCUUCCUCCUCCAGGUGCCCUUUCCGGGGGCCUUCCACACGCUGGUAGACGGUCUGAGAGGAUCUUGGGGACAGUUGUUGCUGUGCAGGCGAGGUGGGCAUGAGAUUGGGGCAAGAGGCCUGGGGGGUGGGGAGGCAUCUGGCAAUAAUGAGGUCAGUGACUUGGGGGUGUCAAAUGAGCAUGGUGGUGGGGGCGUGGGGGAGGGGCAGGGGUGGGAAGAAGCGAGGUCAGGACACGGUCCAGGAGGGGCCAGCCUCAGGGGCUUGGGAGGGGGCUGAGGGACUUAGAGAGAAGGCCUAAGGGGUCUUCCCAAUCCCACUAGUCUUACCGCUCUCUGGAAUAGACCCCAAAGCCGCUCCAUGCUUGUGUCCCCUCCUGAAGCCUGCAGGCUGUCCCCCAGCGAUAAACCGAUAAACCGUUUGUGGGAGCCCUAGGAGGGCCCCUUAUCAGUCCUGGCAGGCAGCCUGAACCAAGGCUGCUCCUCACCACCCCCAAGGGUGGGGGCACAGUCCUGGCCUCAGUCCAGCCUUCCAGACGUGGCCCCCGGGUCCAGGCCAGAGCACAAGGGGCUGUGCUCUCCCCUGCCAAUCUCUCCACAGCCCCACGCCUGCCUCCUCCCUGCAAAACAAUCAAUUUUUUGACCUUGGGGCGGACUUUGGCCUCCUAGUUCCCAUCAGGGGUGGGGGAAGGGGGCCGAUAGUGGGGGAGGGCAGAGACAUGGGUGCCCCCUCCCCUCUCCUGCUUUUACCCCUCCCUGGAUCCUGGGGACCCCUUCCUAAGCCCCGCCAUGCCCAGGUGGAAGAUUCACCCCUAAGACAUCUGCCCCUUCCUCAUCUGGCCUUCAGAGUCCCCCAGUGCCCCGGUCCUGUGACAUAUCAGCUGUCCUCCCUGUCCUGACACUUGCCCCAGUGGCAUUCUAAGCUGGAGGCACCACAGUGGUGUGACUUGGGGGUCUGGUCUGGUGGUGUGCAUGUGUGUCUCUUUUGAAAGGUCGUUCUCAGACUCCUGCUGGCUGCUGGAGAAGGAGGGGCACAGGUGGGAGCACAUGGUCAGAUGAGACCAGCGAGAGCUCCCAGAUAGGGGUCCUGGGGUCAGGGAUAUGUGGGUCAGUGGGGAGGAGUGAUCAGAGUCCCCGCCAAGGUGUGGGCAGAGCUGGGUGACCCUGGACAAGUCAUGGUCCUCCCUGGGCACCGGCCCGUUUGGUCACCGAAGGACUUGGAUCACAUGGGUUUCUACCUCUUUGGGUUCUGAGGCUGAUGAAAGGCCAGUUAGCCUCACCCCAGAAACAUGUCACAGGCAUAAACUGCUAAACAGGCAGGGGGCGCAGGUCCCCAAACCCUUCCGAGGGCCCCAAGACAAGUAGCUCUGAAGAGGAGGGCUCAGGGUCCCACCAAGUUUCCCUUUCGGGUUUCCCCUGGGAAACAUCAGCUCCUACUCAGGUCCAGAGAAGUUCCGAGCUGCUGGGAUGCACCAGCGCCCUAGUCCCCGCCCCAUGUCUGUCACCACCAAGAGCCCCAGGAAGGAAGGCAUAGCGCAUCUCACCUGAGCGCAGGUCCUGGGGUGCUCAGGCGUGCUGCUCCCCUGAGACCUAAGGCCUACGCUGAGGCCCCGCCCACCAGGCCCCACCUCCUGUUCCGCCCAUCCAGGCUUCACCUCCUGCUCCACCCACCUCCUGCCACACUCACCCCAGGCCGUGCCCCUCCACUGCACCCUGCAGCCCCUCCCACCUCCCACCACAACUGUUAGCCCCCAGCAACUCCCCCAACCCCCGGUCCUCGUCAUGUGGCCCUCCCUGGGUCACAACCCCUAGGAAACCUGAGGAAUCCAUGGCCCCUGGGGCUGUGUCCCAGCACCCACUGUGGGAUCGGCAUGGGUGUAGAAGUGAGACUCCCUCCCCUCACCUCCCUCCAGACCCCUGUGCCCACUCCCCACCCCACGGAGGCCAAACUUUUUUUUCUUAAAACAUUUUUACUUCUUUCAACCCAGAAACAUCACCAUUAAUGAGGACAAGAGGGAAAGGAGGAGGGGGGCAAUGUGGCAUGGGGGUUAAGGGACUUCCAUCUGAGCUUGGGAGCAGGUGUGUGGGGAGGAGUGCCAUCAGGGGCACUUUCGCUCCACGCACUGCUUCCCGCCCUCCUCAUAUUCCUGCUUGGAGAUCCACAUCUGCUGGAAAGUGCCCUGGGUGGAGGGGGUAAUAUCAGGGUCAGGGUGGCCUUGGAGGGAGGUGUGGACAGGCAGGUGCAGCCCCUGGGAAUCCUCCAACAGGCCCCAACCACCCCUUGGGUUCACAUCCCUCUGAAGCCCCUCCCCACCUCAUCCUCCCCUCCUCGGUCUGUCCCCUUUCAUAUUCAGAGGGAGAGUAUCCUCUUCAUAUCAUUCAAUCAAUAAUUCAUUCAUUCAACAAGUAUUAUUGAACAGCAGUCUCUGCCCUGAGCUAGGCCCUGUUCCUGAGCUGGGGGGAUGGCACGCACAGCCCCAGGCCAGGCAACCUGCACCUGGCACUCAACACCCCCUACACACACACAGUCCUUCCCCACCAGGUGUCCUCUUCUCACUCCAUCAGGGCUUUGGAACACCGCCAGUCUCCCUCUUUCCCAAGGAAGAUAUUCCCUCCACCUCACCAUUCCAACACUGUGGCACCCCAUCU
rnacentral:lncRNA from 1 species